rnacentral:rRNA from 1 species
UACGAAGGGGGCUAGCGUUGCUCGGAAUCACUGGGCGUAAAGGGUGCGUAGGCGGGUCUUUAAGUCAGGGGUGAAAUCCGGCAGCUCAACUGUCGCAGUGCCUUUGAUACUGUGGAGCUAGAGGGAGGUAGGGGUCUGUGGAACUUCCGGUGGAGCGGUGAAAUGCGUUGAUAUCGGAAGGAACGCCGGUGGCGAAAGCGACGGACUGGAUCUCUUCUGACGCUGAGGCGCGAAAGCCAGGGGAGCAAACGGG